AUGAAAAAGGCUAUAGGGAAUGAGGGUCUGGAGUAUCUUACUUCUGCCCUUGACAGGAAUAGACUGCACAGGAGGUUCUUAACCGGCAGCCAAAAUAUGGGAUCGCAUGUUUUUGUAAGGUUAGUUAUACAUCUGUUUUGGGUAAAAUUGUUGCAGGAAUGGAAUUUGACCUAUAGUGCUAGCCUCUUUCUGUGAUUUGUUUGAGCUGUACUUAUAAAUUGUUUGGUUUUGUUUAUGUUCAUCUGUGUAAAUUCUAAAAGGAAAAGUCACCUGAAUCAAACAGUGAGCUUGUGUGCUUUUCUGUCUGGUGAAUGAAGUCUGAAAAUA
rnacentral:lncRNA from 1 species